rnacentral:rRNA from 1 species
GAGAGUUUGAUCCUAGCUCAGGGUGAACGCUGGCGGCGUGGAUAAGGCAUGCAAGUCAAGGGGGCCGCAAGGCCACCGGCAGACGAGGUAGUAACACGUAGGUACAUACCCGGGAGACUGGUACAGCUCGUCGAAAGACGGGGUAAUCCCAGAUAGUCUCGCGAGAGUAAAGGAGCAAUCCGCUCCCGGAGUGGCCUGCGUCAUAUCAGCUAGUUGGUAGGGUAACGGCCUACCAAGGCUUCGACGUGUAGGGGGGCUGAGAGGCCGAUCCCCACCGAUGGGACUGAGACACGGCCCAUACCUCUACGGAGGGCAGCAGCCGAGAAUAUUCCGCAAUGGACGAAAGUCUGACGGAGCGACGCCGCGUGAUGGAUGAAGUGCUUCGGUACGUAAACAUCUUUUAUGAGGGACGAAAUCUUUGACGGUACCUCAUGAAUAAGGGGCUACUAACUCUGUGCCAGCAGUAGCGGUAAUACAGAGGCCCCAAGCGUUACCCGGAAUCACUGGGCGUAAAGGGUGUCCAGGCGGCCGUAUUAGUCGUUUGUAAAAUCCGCGCGCUUAACGUGCGGCCCGCAAGCGAAACGGUACGGCUCGAGAGCGCGAGAGGUAUAUGGAACUCACGGUGGAGGGGUGAAAUCCGUUGAUAUCGUGGGGAACACCAAAGGCGAAGGCAGUAUACUGGCGCGUUUCUGACGCUCACACACGAAAGCCAGGGGAGCGAACGGGAUUAGAUACCCCGGUAGUCCUGGCCCUCAACGUUGCUUGCUCGUUUCGCGGAGUAUCGACCCUCUGCGAGACUAAGCUAACGCGAUAAGCAAGCCGCCUGGGUAGUACGAGCGCAAGCUUAAAACUCAAAGGAAUAGACGGGGACUCGCACAAGCGGUGGAUUAUGUGGCUCAAUUCGUCGACAAACGAAGAACCUUACCAAGGUUAGAAAUGCAGCUGCAUCCUUUGUGAAAGCAGAGGAGCCUUCGAGGGUGCUGCACAGGUGGUGCACGGUCGUCGUCAGUUCGUGGUUUGAACUGUUCCCUUCAGUGGGGUAACGAACGCAACCCCCGUUGCCUGUUGCCUAUAUGGCCAGGCGAGACUGCUCCCUCACGGGAGAGGAAGGUGGGGAUGACGCCAGAUCAGCGUGCCCCUUUGAUACCUUGGGCCGCACACAUAAUACAAUGGGCGCUACAAAGGGAUGCAAGACCGCAAGGUGGAGCAAAUCCCACAAAAUCGCCCUCAGUACGGAUCGAGGUCUGCAAUCGACCUCGUGAAGCUGGAAUCGCUAGUAAUCCUGGGUCAGCCAAACCAGGGUGAAUACGUUCUCGAGUCUUGUACUCACCGCCCGUCAAGUCAGGGGAGUUGGAGGUGCCCAAA